rnacentral:rRNA from 1 species
AUUGAACGCUGGCGGCAUGCCUUACACAUGCAAGUCGAACGGUAACAGGUCUUCGGAUGCUGACGAGUGGCGAACGGGUGAGUAAUACAUCGGAACGUGUCCGAGAGUGGGGGAUAACGAGGCGAAAGCUUUGCUAAUACCGCAUACGAUCUCAGGAUGAAAGCAGGGGACCGCAAGGCCUUGCGCUCACGGAGCGGCCGAUGGCAGAUUAGGUAGUUGGUGGGAUAAAAGCUUACCAAGCCGACGAUCUGUAGCUGGUCUGAGAGGACGACCAGCCACACUGGGACUGAGACACGGCCCAGACUCCUACGGGAGGCAGCAGUGGGGAAUUUUGGACAAUGGGCGCAAGCCUGAUCCAGCCAUGCCGCGUGCAGGAUGAAGGCCUUCGGGUUGUAAACUGCUUUUGUACGGAACGAAAAGACUCUGGUUAAUACCUGGGGUCCAUGACGGUACCGUAAGAAUAAGCACCGGCUAACUACGUGCCAGCAGCCGCGGUAACAC